CACAAGCAUUAUCAUCGCAACAACACCACGUGGGCAUCUCACCCACCCUACGCAACACCUUUCUGCUUUUUCUUUCUUCAUCUUACUCUAUAUCACGAUGUCUGACUGGGAGACGAUCGCGAAGGAAUCGGAGGAGGUGCUUGCGAAGCCGGAUAUCAAGGGCUGCCACGAGAUCCUGAUGAAGGCGUACGAGGGCGGCAACCAACACCCCGAGAUUCUCUGGCGCCUCGGUCGCUCCUACUACGAGAUGGCGAACGAGAGCACCGAUCCGGCGGUGCGGGAGCCCUACCUGAAGGAAGGCAUGGAGCUAUGCAAGAAGUCCGUGGAGGCGGACCCGAACAACUUCGCCUCGCACAAGUGGCUCGGUAUUCUCAUUUCCGAUCAGAAGGUUGGCAACAAGGAGAAGAUCGCGAACGCGUAUGUCAUCCGCGACCACUUCCUGAAGGCGGUGGAGCUGAACCCCAACGACGCCACCUCGCUGCACUGUAUGGGCAACUGGUGCUUCAAGAUCCUGCAAAUUGGGUGGUUGGAGCGCAAGGCGGCGGCGCUGAUUCUUGGCGAGCCUCCGAGCUCCACCUACGAGGAGUGCCUCGGCUACCUUCUCCGUUCUGCGGAAGCAGGGAACACGAUUCACAACUCCACGAUGAUCGGCGACGCGUACGCGCAGCAGAGCAUGCACGAUGAGGCUCGCAAGUGGUACCAGAAGGCGAUCGACAUGCCUGCCUACACGGAGCUACAGAAGCGUAACCACGACGUCGCUGUUGCCAAGAUGAAGAAACUCUAAAACAAGGAAGAGGUAUGAUGCGGUCAGGUAGGAUGAAGAAACGAAUGCUGCUAAGAGAGAGGGGUACGUGCGAUCCUUCCGAGAGCGACGAAUUUGGUGAUAGUGAGCGGGCAGAUCAUCAAAUGGAAAGAAGGGUCUCCAUAGCGUGUGGCCCCUUGUUGGCAUCAACGUCUCUCAGCGAAGGAAAGGGUGUGACAGCAAAGGCGGCGUCAUCAGCAAGUGCACGAAGUCAACAUACGCACACGCAUACAUUACAGGCGUACAAAUCUUGAUCCGCGUUGCAUCGCCGGUGCUGGUGGUGGGGGAGCAGGGGGGAUGCUGAAAUGAAAAGCGACAGAAACGGAAGUGAUAGUCAGCGCCGACAUGCUGGGCGUCAUCUGAGCUUGUCUGUGAUUUCUUUUUCUCGCGUUCCUCUGGUUACACUCUUUUCCUUGACGUGGUCUGUUGCUCUCUCACCCUCUCUGUCUCGCGCAGACUCUUGCUUUGUUUGUGCUGGUGCCGUGCACCUCUUCCACGCAUGCAUGCCACUGAAAGCAAGUUGUGUUUUUGGUGCCCGCUGUUCCUCCUCCGCAUCCACAUC
rnacentral:misc_RNA from 1 species